rnacentral:rRNA from 1 species
AGCCUGAUGCAGCGACGCCGCGUGAGGGAUGACGGCCUUCGGGUUGUAAACCUCUUUCAGUAGGGAAGAAGCCGCAAGGUGACGGUACCUGCAGAAGAAGCGCCGGCUAACUACGUGCCAGCAGCCGCGGUAAUACGUAGGGCGCAAGCGUUAUCCGGAAUUAUUGGGCGUAAAGAGCUCGUAGGCGGUUUGUCGCGUCUGCCGUGAAAGUCCGGGGCUCAACUCCGGAUCUGCGGUGGGUACGGGCAGACUAGAGUGAUGUAGGGGAGACUGGAAUUCCUGGUGUAGCGGUGAAAUGCGCAGAUAUCAGGAGGAACACCGAUGGCGAAGGCAGGUCUCUGGGCAUUAACUGACGCUGAGGAGCGAAAGCAUGGGGAGCGAACAGGAUUAGAUACCCUGGUAGUCCAUGCCGUAAACGUUGGGCACUAGGUGUGGGGGACAUUCCACGUUUUCCGCGCCGUAGCUAACGCAUUAAGUGCCCCGCCUGGGGAGUACGGCCGCAAGGCUAAAACUCAAAGGAAUUGACGGGGGCCCGCACAAGCGGCGGAGCAUGCGGAUUAAUUCGAUGCAACGCGAAGAACCUUACCAAGGCUUGACAUGAACCGGUAACGCCUGGAAACAGGUGCCCCGCUUGCGGUC